rnacentral:sRNA from 1 species
GGGGAUACCCACCGGCUGAAGGCCGACUGUGAUUCCCUCUACCCCCACAAGGCGAUUUUGACCUCCUGAGGGCUGCUCUAGAGGACUCAGGCCCCGAAGCUGUCCCAGGGAGGUCCCCGCUGCAUCCCAUCACCCAAACUGUGCCUCAUGGAGUCGAUGUUUAGCAGCCCUGCCGAGGCGGCGCUGCAGCGAGAGGCCGGGAUGCCAGGACUGCUCACUCCUCUUCCGGACCUGGACCGAGUGUACGAGCUGGAGCGAGUCGCUGGAUUUGUCCGCGACCUGGGGUGUGAACGAGUUGCCUUGCAGUUCCCUGACCAGCUAUUGGGAGAUGCUGUGGCUGUGGCUGCACGACUGGAGGAGACGACAGGGUCAAAGAUGUUCAUUCUGGGUGACACAGCCUACGGCAGCUGCUGCGUGGAUGUGCUGGGUGCUGAGCAAGCUGGAGCUCAGGCUGUCAUACAUUUUGGCCCUGCCUGCUUAAGCCCCCCAGCCCGCCCACUGCCCGUCACCUUCGUGCUUUGUCGACGUUCUGUGGCCUUGGAGCUCUGUGUCAAGGCCUUUGAGGCCCAGAACCCAGACCCCAAAGCGCCUGUGGUGCUGCUGAGUGAGCCGGCCUGUGCCCAUGCCCUGGGUAAGGGGUUUUGCCUGUGUAUGCAGAAAGGAGGCUUUGGCUACUCUCCUGCGCCCGCGGUACCUGGACCUGCUAGUCUCUAGCCCAGCUUUUCCCCUACCAGUGGGUUCCCUGAGUCCAGAGCCUAAACCCCUGGAGCGUUUUGGGCGCCGCUUCCCCCUUGCCCCAGGGAGGCGUCUAGAAGAGUAUGGUGCCUUCUAUGUAGGGGGCUCUAAGGCCAGCCCUGACCCGGACCUUGACCCAGACCUGAGUCGGCUGCUCUUGGGGUGGGCACCAGGUCAACCCUUCUCCUCCUGCUGCCCAGAUACAGGGAAGACUCAGGAUGAGGGUGCCCGGGCUGGACGGCUAAGGGCACGAAGACGAUAUCUG